rnacentral:rRNA from 1 species
GACGAACGCUGGCGGCGUGCUUAACACAUGCAAGUCGAACGGAAAGGCCCUGCUUUUGUGGGGUGCUCGAGUGGCGAACGGGUGAGUAACACGUGAGUAACCUGCCCUUGACUUUGGGAUAACUUCAUGAAACUGGGGCUAAUACCGGAUAGGAGCUCCUGCUGCAUGGUGGGGGUUGGAUAGUUUCGGCGGUUGGGGAUGGACUCGCGGCUUAUCAGCUUGUUGGUGGGGUAGUGGCUUACCAAGGCUUUGACGGGUAGCCGGCCUGAGAGGGUGACCGGCCAAAUUGGGACUGAGAUACGGCCCAGACUACUACGGGAGGCAGCAGUGGGGAAUAGUGCACAAUGGGCGGAAGCCUGAUGCAGCAACGCAGCGUGCGGGAUGACGGCCUUCGGGUUGUAAACCGCUUUCGCCUGUGACGAAGCGUGAGUGACGGUAAUGGGUAAAGAAGCACCGGCUAACUACGUG